GUAUGUAUACAAGUUGCGCGCUCUCAUCGCGCAACUUGUAUACAUAAGUUGUAUGUAUACAACUUAUGUAUACAUGUAUGCAAUACAUGUAUUGCAUGUAUUGCAUACAUGCAAUACAUAC
rnacentral:sRNA from 1 species